rnacentral:rRNA from 1 species
AAACUAGCAUAUCAAUAAGCGGAGGAAAAGAAACCAACAGGGAUUGCCCUAGUAACGGCGAGUGAAGCGGCAACAGCUCAAAUUUGAAAUCUGGCCCCCGGGUCCGAGUUGUAAUUUGUAGAGGAUGCUUUUGGUGCGGUACCUUCCGAGUUCCCUGGAACGGGACGCCAUAGAGGGUGAGAGCCCCGUCUGGUUGGACGCCAAUCCUUUGUAAAGCUCCUUCAACGAGUCGAGUAGUUUGGGAAUGCUGCUCUAAAUGGGAGGUAUAUGUCUUCUAAAGCUAAAUAUUGGCCAGAGACCGAUAGCGCACAAGUAGAGUGAUCGAAAGAUGAAAAGCACUUUGAAAAGAGAGUUAAAAAGUACGUGAAAUUGUUGAAAGGGAAGCGCUCAUGACCAGACUUGGGCUCGGUUGAUCAUCCAGGGUUCUCCCUGGUGCACUCUCCCGGCCCAGGCCAGCAUCAGUUCGCCGCGGGGGACAAAGGCGUCGGGAAUGUGGCUCCCUCGGGAGUGUUAUAGCCCGUCGUGCAAUACCCUGUGGUGGACUGAGGUUCGCGCAUUCGCAAGGAUGCUGGCGUAAUGGUCAUCAGCGACCCGUCUUGAAACACGGACCAAGGAGUCGUCUUCGUAUGCGAGUGUUCGGGUGUCAAACCCCUACGCGUAAUGAAAGUGAACGCAGGUGAGAGCUUCGGCGCAUCAUCGACCGAUCCUGAUGUUCUCGGAUGGAUUUGAGUAAGAGCAUACGGGGCCGGACCCGAAAGAAGGUGAACUAUGCCUGUAUAGGGUGAAGCCAGAGGAAACUCUGGUGGAGGCUCGCAGCGGUUCUGACGUGCAAAUCGAUCGUCAAAUAUGGGCAUGGGGGCGAAAGACUAAU